rnacentral:lncRNA from 1 species
ACAGGCAACCAGGUUGUGACUGAUGUAAACUGCCACUUUUGAGUAGAUUGAUAACAUCUGUGAUCCCAGAUGCCAAGGCAAAUAUAUUGAUAUUACUCACCCAUGCUGCCACUAAAAACCAUGUCGAAACCCAUAGUUUGGUCAUUGAGGAGUUCCAGUUUGUCUGUGGUCCCUCUGCUAGAAGAGUCUAUUGUGAAGUUCCUAGUCAGUACUGCUGCCUAAGGACAUAAUGACGUAAGUGCUGUGUGCUGCUACUGGAGACCAUUUUAUGUGUGUGAUCCUACAUGGAGCCUGAAGCUAUGCUGAUGUCAGUACUGUAAGUAGUGAACCUUAAUCAUAAUGGAGUCAUGGUUCCCGUUGGUAAUAGAGACCAAGGUGAUGGCUAUGAUCUGUGCUGGUGCUUGAGAACCCAUUAAAUUCCAAGGUCCAUACUGCACUCAAGAUCAUUUUGAGGCUGUGUUAUCUUCGAAGAGCUCCCUGAUGUCUGAGAGUCCUCAUCCAGAAGAGUUAAUAGUGAUGAUCAAUAAUCCUACCUAAGGUCUUAAUGAUUUAAAUGUGUGCUACUACUGAAUGUACCUUUGAUGCCUGUGAUCCUACCUGCAAAUUGAUGCCAGGUUGAUGUCAGUACUACAUGAUGUGGCCAACAAUCACGAUGGAGUCCAUUGUUGAUAUUGCUGAUGGAGACCCUGGUGAUGGCUAUGAUUUCUGCUGCUGCUUGAGGACAUGCUGAAUUAUAAGGUCUAUACUGACACUUGAGGUCAUAUUAAGACCUUGUUAUAAGUAACAUACUUGUUACUAACAGAAGAGCUAUCAAUGUGAUUGAAUCCUUCUGAUACUGGAGAAAAGGUUUACGUCCAUAAUUACUUCUAUCGUUUGAAUCUAUGUUGGUGCCAGUUAUACAGCUGUCAAUAGACAUCAUACCAUAUCCAGGAUCCCUGCUGCCAAUAGCAAACAUCAUAUAGUAAUUUGUUCAGCCAGUUUGUGCCAGGAUGAUGAUAUCAGUGAUCUCAACUGCCAACAUAAAUAUAUUGAUGUAAUUCAUCCAUGCUGCUACCUGUAAUUAUGUUGAUAUCUAUAGACAUUGCUGCCUCUAAAGAGCUUGGUGAUAUCUGCCACCCCUGUUGCUAAAAGUGUCUGACUUGGAGUUUAUGGUCAAUACUGCUACCUAAGUCAUGUUGACUGAAGUGUACUUUGAUUCAACCAGAGAUGAGUUUCAUCUAUGGAACCUGAAAUGCAACCUGAAACAAUGUUGAUGUCAGUGCUUCCUGCUGCCACCAGUAAUCAUGAUGAUGUUUAUUGUUCCUAUUAAGAUAUGACAGAACACAGUAAUGUAUGAAAUGCCUGUGGUAUAUGCUUAUAGCUCCUGCUUUUGACUAUAUUAUCUAUAAGAUCCUUACUGCAAACAAAAGAAGCAUUGAUGUCAAUGAUCCAUCACGCAAAAGGAGAAGUUGAUGUUAGUAUUAUCUCCUGCCCUCUGAAUCUAUGCUGAUGUCAGUGAUACACAUGGAAACAGAUACUGUGAUUUUAUCUAAGAUAUAUGCUGCCACAGGCAACCUUGACUAAACUGAUCCCUGCUUCAAGUGAGUACCUUGUUUAUAUCACUACUUCAAUGCACCUGCAGAAACUAUGUUGAUGUCCAUUAUCCAUGCCUGCACUAGUAUCUAUGUUGAAUGCCAUAGUCUGUGUUGUUUUUGAAAAGACUAUUAAUGUAAAGGAACCCUGUGGC